GACGAACGCUGGCGGCGUGCUUAACACAUGCAAGUCGAACGGUGAAGGGAUCAGCUUGCUGGUUCUGGAUGAGUGGCGAACGGGUGAGUAACACGUGAGUAACCUGCCUCCUUCUUCUGGAUAACCGCAUGAAAGUGUGGCUAAUACGGGAUAUUCUGGGUCUGUCGCAUGAUGGGUCUGGGAAAGAUAUUGUUUCGGUGGGGGAUGGGCUCGCGGCCUAUCAGCUUGUUGGUGGGGUGAUGGCCUACCAAGGCGGCGACGGGUAGCCGGCCUGAGAGGGUGGACGGUCGAACUGGGACUGAGACACGGCCCCGACUGCUACGCGGAGCAGCAGUGGGGAAUAUUGCACAAGGAGCGCUAGCCUGAUGCAGCGACGCCGCGUGAGGGAUGGAGGGCUUCGGGGUGUAAACCUCUUUCGGCAGUGAAGCAGGCCUACUCCUUAUGCGUGGGUUGACGGUAGCUGGAUAAGAAGCGCCGGCUAACUACGUG
rnacentral:rRNA from 1 species